GGGCGUGUGCCCGAGCGGCCAAAGGGGACGGGCUGUAAACCCGUUGGCGAAAGCCUACCCAGGUUCAAAUCCUGGCGCGCCCA
rnacentral:tRNA from 1 species